UCAAAGUGCAAUGAAACCUGUUAACAGCUUAAGAGACAGGGGGAAACUAAGACACCUCCCCUCAAGCCCAAGAACAAGCACAAGGAGUGCUCUUUCUAGACACUGUAGUGAGAAAGGUGCGUCCAUCUUCCUGUUUGACUUUCUUGGUGGCACUGGGCUCGACCUCCAGGGUGAUGGUCUUGCCUGUCAGGGUCUUCACAAAGAUCUGCAUACCACCCCUGAGACGGAGGACCAGGUGCAGAGUGGAUCUCUCUGGGUGUUGUAGUCCAAGAGGGUGGAGCCCAGCAG